rnacentral:ncRNA from 2 species
AGUAAAUACUUUCUCCGAGCUUAUAAACCUACGAUCUAAAACUUUUUAAGGGUUAUAAGCCGAUAGGGUUUGUCUGGAAACGGACAGGCCUCCCGGUGCGGAAAGGAGAGUAUAAAACGGUUAA